CGAAGCUGCGGACGCUAACUUAGGUUGGCGUGGUAGAGGAGCGUUCUGUAAGCCGUCGAAGGGAAAGGUGUAAACCAUCCUGGAGGUAUCAGAAGUGCGAAUGUUGACAUGAGUAACGAUAAGGGGGGUGAAAAACCUCCCCGCCGGAAGACCAAGGGUUCCUGUCCAACGUUAAUCGGGGCAGGGUGAGUCGACCCCUAAGGCGAGGCCGAAAGGCGUAGUCGAUGGGAAACGGGUUAAUAUUCCCGUACCCUUUAUUAUUGCGAUGGGAGGACGGAGAAGGCUAGGUGGGCCUGGCGAUGGUUGUCCAGGUUCAAGUGUGUAGGUGGAAGACUUAGGUAAAUCCGGGUUUUCGUUAACGCUGAGACACGAUGUCGAGGUACUAAGGUACUGAAGUCAUUGAUGCCAUGCUUCCAGGAAAAGUCUCUAAGCUUCAGAUAAUAAAGGAUCGUACCCCAAACCGACACAGGUGGUCAGGUAGAGAAUACCAAGGCGCUUGAGAGAACUCGGGUAAAGGAACUAGGCAAAAUGGUACCGUAACUUCGGGAGAAGGUACGCCUUCGACGGUGAUGAGACUUGCUCUCUAAGCUGUUGAAGGCCGAAGAUACCAGAUGGCUGCAACUGUUUAUUAAAAACACAGCACUCUGCUAAAUCGUAAGAUGACGUAUAGGGUGUGACGCCUGCCCGGUGCCGGAAGGUUAAUUGAUGGGGUUAGACUUAGGUCGAAGCUCUUGAUCGAAGCCCCGGUAAACGGCGGCCGUAACUAUAACGGUCCUAAGGUAGCGAAAUUCCUUGUCGGGUAAGUUCCGACCUGCACGAAUGGCGUAAUGAUGGCCAUGCUGUCUCUACCCGAGACUCAGUGAAGUUGAAAUCGCAGUGAAGAUGCUGUGUACCCGCGGCUAGACGGAAAGACCCCGUGAACCUUUACUACAGCUUAGCAGUGAACUUAGAGCCUACAUGUGUAGGAUAGGUGGGAGGCAUUGAAACCAGGUCGCUAGAUUUGGUGGAGCCAAUCUUGAAAUACCACCCUUGUAUGUUUUGAGUUCUAACCAUGGCCCCUGAAUCGGGGUUUGGGACACUGUUUGGUGGGUAGUUUGACUGGGGCGGUCUCCUCCCAAAGAGUAACGGAGGAGUACGAAGGUUGGCUAAUCACGGUCGGACAUCGUGAGGUUAGUACAAUGGUAUAAGCCAGCUUAACUGCGAGACAGACACGUCGAGCAGGUACGAAAGUAGGUCUUAGUGAUCCGGUGGUUCUGUAUGGAAGGGCCAUCGCUCAACGGAUAAAAGCUACCC
rnacentral:rRNA from 1 species